rnacentral:lncRNA from 1 species
GGGUCGACCCCGGCUGCCUGUCUGCCGGGCUGCCGACCGUGCCGUUCGCGAAGGCUAUGGACGACGCCAUGGCCGCGCUCUUCCUCCGCCACACGGUGCCCGCGGCCUGGUGGAAGGCGAUGCGGCUGCUGGGGGUAGGACCGGAGAAGAAGCUUGCCGCGGCCUGCGUAGUCAUCGACCGAUUCAUCGCCAAAACCGUCGCGGAGAAGAAGAAAGCUCAUGAGAAGAGGGAAUCAGAUGAGCAAGAAUCCGACUUAUUAUCGGCGUACAUGGAAGAAAAAGAGCACGACUCGCCCUCCGCAUCCGAUGACGAAAGGUUUCUCCGAGACACCGCGAUGAACUUCAUGCUCGCCGGGCGCGACACGACGGGCUCCGGCCUCUCCUGGUUCUUCUGGCUCCUCUCCAAGAAUCCGCGCGUAGAAGAGAAGAUCCUCCAGGAACUGAACACGAUUUCGGCCCCCCGAAAAGGUGAACUCGCCGUCUUCGACUCCGAAGAGCUCGGUAAGUUAGUCUACCUCCACGCUGCCCUAUGCGAAUCGCUCCGCCUCUUCCCGCCGGUCCACCUAGAGCACAAAGGAGUUCUGGAACGUGACAUUCUCCCCAGCGGCAUCGAGGUAAACCCUAGCAUGAAGAUAUUGGUCUCGAUGUACGCAAUGGCGAGGAGGGAGGAGGUGUGGGGGAAGGACUGCAUGGAGUUUAGGCCGGAGAGGUGGAUAUCGGAGGAGGGGAAGGUGCGGUACGAGCCGUCGUAUAAGUUCUUAUCGUUCAACUCGGGGCCGAGGACGUGCUUGGGGAAGGACAUGGCGUUCACGCAGAUGAAGGCGGUGGCGGCCGCCGUCGUCUACAACUUCCGCGUCGAGGCCGUCGAAGGGUUCGUCGCGGAGCCCAAUCUCUCCAUCAUUCUGCAUAUGAAGAACGGUCUAAUGGUUAGGGUUAAGAGGAGGCGGGGGAGCGGAUAUUGAUCGAGGAUGAAGAUGAUAAGGGAUGAUUAACUGGUGCAUGUUAAAUUAGUAUGUACUACUGCUAUAUUAAGCCAGUGCAUGAAGCUACCUAAGGUGUACGUAGUUUGGAGUGGAUGUUUACUGUUUGGAAAUCCAAACAAAGUUAAAAACCUAUUUGAAGGCUUUAUUUUAAUAAUAUUAUAAAAAUAAUAGUGAAAAAGAAUGCGUUUAGAAAAACAAUCUAUUUGUUUAAGGUCUAUUAGUUAUUAAGAAUCGUGUAAUAUCAUCACUAAAAAUAAAAUUAAGGCCAAAGUAUAUAUAAAAGUAACUUGACCGGCCAAGGGUUACUGAGCACACGACAAACCUACACCAUGAGCACAGCGAAACAUGAACGAUCUUAAAAUACAAGCGUGAAAAUAACAAAAUAAUAAAAGAAACAAGAGAACAUAAGAACACGGAAUUUAUAUGAUUGGUCUAAUAUGAGUCAACCUACAUCCACGAAAAGAUCACAUUAAUGCGCUUUUCGAUUAUUUUAUGGAACAAAUGUAUGAGGAGUAAGAUUAGAUUAUAAGAUGCUCUUUUUGUAGAGCUUUUCACAUUUUUCUCUCAACUAGGAUGUCUACAAUGAAGUUCUAAUUUCUAAAAAGAUUAAUUAUAAGAGUUUAUAUAAUCCUAAAACUCUAAUUCUAGUAGUAAAUGUUCUCCGACGUCCAUCUGAAUCCCCGAUUCGCUUCUAGCCGUUGAAUCCUCAUAAGAAUCCUUUUUAAAGAGUUCCCGCGGGACCAUCACUAAUCUUUAGAAAUAAGAUUAGAUCAAAUUAAAAUUAAAUUCAACAUAUUCGGGCUGUCACGGAAUUGAGUACCGAUACUCAACUGGAAUAUCGGUAUUGACACAGUAUCAGUACGCAAAAUGAAUACUGGUGCUCAAUACAAAAAAUAGUUUUUCAAGCUUCGAAUUCUGAGGUACUCUUUAGUACUGGUACUUAAUUAAACAUUAAGUUCCGGCACCUGGCAUUCAAAAACCUCAAUUUUUCUCGAUAUUUUUACUGUAAUAUCGACGUGAAAUAUAACUUCACAUAAUCAACACAAAAUACAUUUGCUUCGGUACUUGUUGUUAUAAGUUAAUCUAUCUAAGGGCUAAUUAGCGAAAGGUAUUAUUGGAAUUUUAAUAUGGUGAGCGAUCAAACAAAUAAUUGUUGUCAACAAUAAUUGUUGUCAACAAUAAUUAUAUAGUUUUUUUUUACUUUACAAAAUUUAUAUAUAGUGUAGAUAUGGAUAUAUACAUUGAAUAUUUUUCUCUAAUUUUUAAUUUUGAUAAAUUUAAAAUUUAAAUAUAUAUUUUAAACUAUAAGUAUCAAAAUUAAAAAAUUAAUAUAAUAAUAAAAUAUUAGUAGAUAGAAUAGAGAUAAUAUAUAAAUAUUUAUCUUAAAAGGAAAAGAUACUGAAUGAUAACAAUAUUAAAUAAAAAUAUAAAAUAUUAAUAGUUGGAGAAAAAGAGUAGGUAUCAUUAUGUUAUUUAUUUUGUAUAUGAAAAAAAAAAUUGAAAUGGAUCGAAAUUUGAAAUAUGUGCUUUUAUAUGUAGUAUAGAUAUGCAUAUACAUAUAUAGGGCGUCUUUGUUUCACCCAUUUUUCACACUGGAAUUGGAAUCGAAUGGACGAAUUCAUUUGUCCGUGUUUGGUAUGUGCAAUUUUCCUUCUAAUUUUGAUUUUUGGGUGAAUGGGAAUCUCCCAAUUACCCAAUUUUUCAAUCCGGCCUAGAAAGUCGGAUUGGAAAUUGGGGUGGAAUAUAUUUGUUUGGAUUAAAUUUAAUUUUUUAUGCUUAUUUUUUAAUUAAAACACAAGUUUAAGUUUAAAAAUUAUAUUUAUAACUUUAAAUUUUAAUUUGAACUUAAAUUAAAAAUUAAAAUUCAAUCAAGCAUUUCAAAUUUAUUUUUAAAUUUAAUUUAAAUUUAAAUUUAAUUUAAAAUCUAAAGUAUUUUAUUCAAAUUUUAUUUAAAAUUAAAAUUAAGUUUAAGAAUUCAAAUUGAAAUUGAAAUUAUAAUUUUAAAUUUGAAUUUGAAUAAAUCAAAAUUAGUUUUAUAUUUUGAAUCAUCGUUCAAUUUCAAAAUUUAAUUAUAUAUAUUACAAUUUUGACAUCAUUUUAAAGUUUUACCUAUAUUUUUAAGAUUUAAUUUUCAGUUUGAAUUUAAACUAAUAUAUUUUAAAUAUAAAAUUGACAUAUUAAUUUGAUUACAUUUCUAAUAUCUAUCUGAACCAAAUAAUGAGAAUGGUUCAUUCCGAUUCCGAUUCAGAUGGCAAUCAAACAGAAUUAGUAAUGAAUCAUUUCGAUUCUGUUUCCAGCUUAUUCUUAUUCCGAUUUCGAUACCGAUUCCAACUCUAAACCAAACACACCCAUAUUCCGAUUUCGAUACCGAUUCCAACUCUAAACCAAACACACCCCUAGUUUUUUCUUCUUUUUUUUUUUUUUUGAGAGAUAGGUAGCACGCUAUCCGCUUCAUCUAUUUCAUUUGGAAAUAAACUUAGAUGGAAAUGUGAAUUAACUAGUAUUCGAACUUGGGUCUCGGGUACCAACCACCAAGUCCUUUGCCACUUGUUUUAGGGACGGUUGGUAACACACCCCUAGUUUUAAAGGUGCGUAUGUAUAUAUGGUAUGGUGUUGGAUAGUGUGAGACGAUUUUUUUUUUUUUUGAGAGCAUUAGAUAGCGUGCUUACUCGCUUCGUUUAUUUUUUGUAGAUAAUCAAACUUAGUUUUGAAAUCUGAAUCAAAGUUAGGCAUCAAACUUUUGGGAUCUUGAAUAUCAUUCACCAAAUCUUUUGCUUUGCUUCAAAGACGGCAACACCACCAAAUUUAUUCGUUUCGCCAAAAAAAAAAAUAUUUUAAUUCCCACCAAAAAAAGUGGCGUCACGAAAAGUAAAAGCAAUUCAUGGAAUUAAUCCAUGCAAGCAUUGCAGAUGCUGAGCAAACAUUCUGCUCGGAUUCAUGUGAUAAAAAAAAAAGUAUUACUGUUACAGGAAAAAAGUAUAUCUAUACAACUAAUAAAAGGCGAACCCUCAACCUCGCCACGCGUCGCCUCCGCGCCGAACCCCGCCCAUCAGCAGGUCUCCCCGCGUUGCGGUGCCUCGCCGAUGAGAGAGAGGAGUAGAGAGAACAGAAGGAGAUGAGAGAGCGAGAGCGUACAGAGAGGAGGCGGGAGAGAGAGAGAACAGAGGGAGAGAGAGAGAGCAAAGUUAGAAUGAAGAGAGAGAGAGGACUCAGUCUCUCUUCUCUCUCUCUGCUCGGCGUGCUGCAUGCCCGAGAGGGGACCCGCGCACAUGUAGGGCCCCCCCCGGCUCUCCUCUCUCUUUCUCUCUCUCCUUCUGCUCUCCUUCUCCCCCCCCCAUCCCCGGUCCCCCCCUCUCUCCUCUCCUGCUGCGAUAGCGGCCACCAGUAGCGCUAGACCCAGCCGCGUCGAACGCUGGUUCGGGUCGCUCAGGGAUUCCCGGCCCGCGCCCCUCGCGCUGCGUUCUCCCUCCUCCUCACUCUUACCCCCAUCCCCCCCACGGGCUCUCUUCCCUCUCCCUCCCCCCCCCCCCCUCCUCUCCUCUCUCUUCUUCCCUCUCCCCAUCGGCUGCAGCAGAGGACGUGGCCGACGUAAGCGGGCGCUGAGCCGGCGGCGCGCAGGGCGCGGCUCUGCGGCGCGCGGCGCGAGACGGUACGCACAGGCCUCUGCGGUAAAACGCGCGAGGCCGGCGCGAGGCGGGCGUGCGGAGCGGAGGCGGGAGCGAGCCGGGCAGCUCGUGCCGGUCGACCCGGCAGGCGGGCUGCGGCGAGUGCGACGGGCGCGCGAAGCAGGCGCCGCGAGUGACGGGGCAAGCGGCAGCGCACUGCGCCGGCUGGGGGGGCGCGGGGCGCGAGCCGCGCGAAGCCAGCGCGAGCGGGGUUUUUUUUUUUUUUUUUUUUUUUUGCUUUCCAGUGAUACACUCCUCUCUUCUCUCUCAUCUCUCUUCUCUCUCACUUCUCUCUCUCUCUUCUUCUCUCUCUCUCUCUUUUUCUUCUUUCUAACCGUCCACUCUCUCUCUCUCUCUCUCUCUCCUUCUUUUUUUUUCCUUUAACUUCCACUCCAUCUCCUCCUCUUCUCUUUUUUCCCUUUUCAAACUUUUUUUUUCCCUUAUUUUGCAGUGAUUUGACUUCAAUCAAAAUAAAAUUAACAAUUUAAAUUUAAAUAUAAUUAAAAUAAAAUUAAAAUUUAAUCGAAUUCUAUUUUGAUGGAUUGCUGAGCGACGGGCCGACGCGAACGCGGCGCCGGAGCGGGUUUUUUUUAUGGCUUUUCCUGGGACGCACAAAAUUAAAAACAGCAUAAUUAUAAAUUUAAGUUACGUACAAAAAAAAAAAAUAAAAAUUUAAUUUUAAAUAUAAAUUUAAUUUAAUUUAAAUUUAAAUUGAGAUCUCUUUUUUGAGGAUGCGCGACUGGGCAGCUUGCUGCGAGCGCCGACGCGGAAGUGGCUUUUUUUUUGCUUUUCCUGUAACCACAAAUUUUAAAAAAUUAAAUAUAAUUUAAAUUAAACCUGAACUUCUCUUAACAGGAAAUAAAAUUUGUACUUAUUUUAAAAUUUAAAUUUAAAAUAUAAAAUUAUAUCUAUAUUACCUUUUAAAUGCGGAAUUCUCAAACCCGUACGGCCAGGGCUCUCUGACGUUAUCGAAUUUUAAACACACUCAGUUCUAAGAAACAACUCAAAAGAUUAUCAUUUGAUCUAUAAUGUGGUUAUGUUAAAUUUAAUUUAGAUCUUAAAAUAAAAAAAAUUAAACAAGUUUGAUUCAAAUAUUUGGUAAAUUACUCGGUAAAUUUCCCGCCGCGAAGCGCGGGCCUUCACUAGUUAAAACUUAUACUUGUGUGUAACAAUUUUUUUAUAAAAUAAAUUUUUUUAAAAAAAAUAUUUUAAUUUUUGACCUUUUAUAGUUUAGAAUCUAAAUUUUUUUUUUAUAAGGCACGCAUUGGUUGUAGUUAAUUAAUAAUAGUAAUAUAUAGAAGCACGCAGAGGCAGAAUCAAUCAAAUGAACAUGCAUUAUGAUGUACGCGCGUACUCAUGCAUAUAUAUUAGGUUGAUUGAUUAUCAUAAUUUGCUUAUAUAUAUUUAGACUAAUUAGACUAACAAAAUAAGCUCAUAUCUAUUUAUGCUGAAAAAGAGAAAAGAAAUGAUAUACGUUAAUGAAAAAAAUGAGCGGGAAUAAUGUAAAAAGUGCGAAAAGGAAAUACUUAAUUUAUGAAUUUUAUAUUCCCGCGCGUAUUUUAAUAUCUAUUUGAAAAGAAAAAAUAUUUUAAAAAUAAAUAGAGAAGUAAUUUGUAUUUUAAUAAUUAUUUGAAAAGAAAAGAUAUUUUGAAAUUGAAUAGAAAAAUAAUUUUUUUCACCCGUUAUUGUUACUGAAAAAAUUAAAUUAAAGUAUUAAAUAGGAAAAUAAUUUUUUCCCACCCGUUAUCUAUUAGAGAAAAAUUUAAAUUCAAUGAGAUAAUUUGUAUUUUAAUACUUAUUUGAAAAGAAAAAAUAUUUUGAAAUUAAAUAGAAAAAUAAUUUUUUCCACCUGUUAUCUGUUAAAAAAAAUUAAAUUAAAGUAUUAAGUAGGAAAAUAAUUUUUUCCCACCCGUUAUAUGUUAUAGAAAAAAAUAAAUUAAUGUUUUUUUGUUACGUAUCAUUCACUGCGUAUUCAUUCACAACGGUUUCUAUUUUUAUCCUUACGUAUUCAUUCCCAGCGAUUCCUAUUUUUAUCCUUAUAUUUGAAAUUUUGAAAUGGGUCUGUCAACAUACCAAAAUUUGAAAUACAUGAUUUUACAUAUAGUAUACACAUAUAUAGAGAAAGAGGCUGUUGUUCUAUCGGUAGCAUGAAGGCCUUCGUGCUACCAAGUUGUUUUCAACGAUCGGCUAACAAGUUACAUGUUAUAGUAAAUUAAUGUUUUUUGUUACAUAUCAUUCAUUGCGUAUUCAUUCCCAACGGUUUCUAUUCUUAUCCUUACGUAUUUAUUCCCAAAGAUUCCUAUUUUUAUCCUAAUAUUUGAAAUUUUGAAAUGGUUCCGUCAUCAUACCAAAUUUGAAAUACAUGAUUUUAUAUGUAGUAUAUAUAUAUAGAGAGAGAGAGGCUGCUGUUCUAUCGGUAGCAUGAAGGCCUCCGUGCUACCAAGUUAUUUUCAACGAUCGGCUAACAAGUUAUUUUCAAACGCAUCUCAUCGAUCAUUAAAAUUGUCAAUUUUAAGACCUUUUGAUUAUUUUCAAAUACUUUUAAUAGUGUCGAUAAAGUUUAACGGAGCUAAUCGUCAAUUUGGAAGCUGCAUCAUUGAAAACAACCUGUUAGCUUAUAUGCCUUCGCUCUACUUAUAAUAUAGUAGCCAGACUAGAGAGAGAGAGAGAGAGAGAGAGAGAGAGAAAGAGAGAGAGAGAGAGUCCGGCUGGGAUACUCUCGAUAGCACCAAGGGCUUGGUGCUAUCGAGUUUUCCACUAUUAGAUUUAAUACUUUGAUUAUUUUUACUCGUUAGAUUAUACUAUUCAAUCAACAACUUACUCAACCCUAGAAGGCCCACACCUAACCGCACAUUUCUCAAUCAAAGAGCUAAAAAACUAACAGCACCAAUAGCUUGGUGUUAUUGAUAGUAUUCCAACCGAGUUCUAUAUAUAUAUAUAUAUAUAUAUAUAUAUAUAAGGUAAUAUUUUGCAAAUUAAAUUGUCAGGUUUGAUUUUUUGAUUUUCAGUUUAUUUUUUGAUCUUCAGUUUCAGUAAUUUGAAUGUUUAUAUCUGGUCAUGUUUGCAUACGAAUUUCAAUUUUGAUUUUUCAUUUGGCUAAAUUAUAAAAAAAUAUCCCUAUAAAUAUAUAAUUUUUCACUUUUUCUCCCUAACUUUUAAAAACCUAUAUUUUACCCCCUUAAAAUUUUAAGUUGUUAUAUUUAGCCCCGGCUCCGUUAGGGUUCUAUCUCUAUCCCGUUUAUUUUUUAUAAUUUAUAUCGAAAAUGUCCUUCAAAAUGACAAGAAAUAUAUUAAAAAAUAAUUUUUUUUCUUAUAAAAGAAGUAAGGAUAAUUUGGUUAUUUUGUCCUCUCCAUUAACACUGAAAUCCUCUAAAAAUAUUUUUAAAAUUUUAAGAAGAUAAAAUAUAAAUUUUUGAAAGUCGAAAAGAAAAAAACGAAAAAGAAGAUAUUUGUUGAGAAUUUCUAUAAUUUAACCUUUUCAUUUAGAUCUAACUUUGUACUGGUGCAAAAGUCGCCCUCAAUCUGAAUCAGUGACAUUACCUAGAUAUGAUAGGCAUUAACUCCUAAACCUCAAUAUAAAAACGCAUAAAUUUUUUAUUUUUUUUAUACAUAAGUAGCACGUUAUCUAUUUCGUUUAUUUUAGAAAAAACUUCAAAAACCCCCUCUGUAGUUUCGUGCAUUCUCACUUUGCUACCCUGUGGUUUAAAACGUAUCAAUUUACCCCCCUGUGGUUUCAUUUUUAUCUUUUCGGAAGCUUUUUCGUUAAUAUUUCGUUAAAUUAUAUACAAAAAACUUCAGAUAACCAUCUAUAUUUAUCGAAUAGUCACUUUAGUAUCCUUUAAUUUUAACUUUGUCACUGAUUUUAAAAAAUAAUAAUAAUAAAAUUGAUAACAAAAAGAUAAAAACGAAACCACAGGGGGGCAAAUUGAUACGUUUUAAACCACAGGGUAGCAAAGUGAGAAUGCACGAAACCACAAGGGGGGUUUUUGAAGUUUUUCCUUUAUUUUAUUUAGAAAUAAACUUAGCUGGAAAUGUGAAUCAACUAGAAUUUGAACUUGGGUUUCGAAUACCACAUAAAUUUUAAAAACAUAUUAUUUGGGAGCUAUACAGUUUCAGGAAAGAUAUUAUUUAGUUUAUAGGAAGUGUGUGUCCAAAUUUAUAAAUUUUGAUCUUUCGAAUGUUAUAGAAUUAAUUAAUAUAAAGCAUUAAAUGUACCCAUAUUUGAUGAUCAAUGUGUUGAAUUUUAAUUUCAAGGCGAUAGUAUGUCAUAAAUAAUUUUAAAAAAAAUCUAUAUACAAAAUUUAUAGAUUUUGGGACCUGGCUGAUCAUCACAUAGUUCAAACAAUUAACGAUAUAGAAUAGAUCUCUAUUGAAUUUAUAGAAAAUCCAUGUUCAAUAUUUAUAACAUAUCAAUGCAAAGGAUCGACUUGUAUAUUUUAUAGAACUUUCGAUAAUUUAUAUUCAAUUUUGAAAUCUCUAUAAUAGUUUCUAGCACUGUGGUAUAUGAUACAUAUUUGUACAUCGAAUGCACGGUCAUAAUUUCCAAUCCUACUUUAACUCUCUAUUCUCAGCAUAUACUUAAUUAACUGCCUGUAGUAUACUGUGUUGGAUUUUAUUUAAUUUUUGUAAUUUAAAAUUUGUUUGGCCUCUUGGGUAGCCCAAUAAUUAAUGGGUCUUACUUGGGAGCCCAACUAAAAUUUUCAUGUGUAAGGUUUAGUCUCACAUUGCAAACUAAAAAGGUGUUGUUAGUAUAUAUAUAUUAUUUUAUUCUCAAGCUAAUUAUUUGGGAGAAAAUGAGAGUUAUGUUUAAAUACACGCACACAUACACGGCACGAGCACGAGCCGAGUCGGGCCGGCGGGCGGCGGCGCAUGCGGUCUAUACACCCGUUUUAUUGCAAGAUUCUCGCCUUAGUUAUAUAUCUUGGAGGAGGUUGUGUGAGUUCAAUAAGAACCCGAGCAUACCUAAACCCUACCUCGUCUAUCCCUGCUUUCUCGCCAUUAAUCUUUUCCGCCGAUUUUGGCCAAAAUUUUUGUGCUGGAUCUGAAGAUUGUCGGGUUCGUCUUGCGCCAUCUUAAAAGCAUGCCGAUGGGGUGAAAAGAUCCAGCACAGAAAACUUGGCCAAAAUCGGCACUGUUAUAGACGUAAAAAUUACACCCCGUUGGGUGCCGAUGGGGUGUAAUUUACGUCUAUAACAGUGCAACGUUUUUAUAAAAUAGUACGACGUCAUUUUAUUUUUUUCUUUUUCUCUAGUUCUUCUUUUUUUUUUCUUUUUUUUUUUUUCUCUCGUUCUUUUUUUCAUUCUCAUUGAAGAGGGUGGAGCAGCAGAUGUGGAAGCGGCCCACCUCACCUCUACCCCGCGCGCCUUUGCCCUCACCCAUGCCCUCUCGCCCUGGUCUACGCUCGCGCACCGUCCAUCAUCUUCGCUUCUGACCUGGCCGAGGUUGCGCUUGUCGUCGCCCUCUAGGACGCCCCACCUUGCCUACACCCCAUGCACCCUCGCCCGCACUCGUUUACCCCCACCCUCCUCACCUCCAGCCUUGCGGAGGCCACAUGGGGGAGGUAGGUCGUCUCCGGAUUUCGAAACUCCGAUGCAGUACGCGGGGUUGAGAGGUUCACGUUAUUAAAGAUGGUCACAAUGGAAGGUAGAAUACAAUUUUUUCUAAAACAAUAUAAUUUUUGUCAAAAGAGUGCAUCUUUUGUUUCAAACAGUGUAAUUUUUAUCAAAAGAGUGCAUCUUUUGUUUAAAACAGUGUAAUUUUCAGCAAAGAGUGCAAAAUUCAUAUUAAAUAGGCCAUUUUUUUUAUAAAAUAGUACAUUUUUAUUUUAACAAUGCAACAUUCAUCGUCUUCUUUCUUUUUCUAUGAUUCUUCGUCUUUCCGGUAGCAACAACGAUAUAUUAUGAUCUUUCAAAAAGAAAAAAAUUUUCUUUAUUUUUUUAUUUUUUAUUCUUAUUUUUUUCUGCUCUUUACAUCUGGACGCGUCUUUUUUCCUCACCCUCACGGGCGGCGAGCACCUCCUAGGCAAUGGCCUCAUUGCCUCCGUCCGCUCCUCCCUUACCUAGGCCUGCUCCAAGAUCUCCUUCUCCUUCUCCGGCGUUAGCGGAGGCGGAGGCGGAGGAGGCAGCGCCGCCCUCUUUACCGUUGUUGAGGGUCGCAGGCGCCAGCGAAGGAGGAGAUGGAGGAAGAGGAGGUGGCGCUGUCCUUGUUACCGUCGCUGAGGGCCACAAAGUCGGUGGAGGAGGCGAUAAUAGUCGGAGAGAAAAAAAAAAAAGAAUACAGAAAAAAAAGAAGAGAGAUAAAGAAAUAAGAAUAUUUUAGUCAAUUUGCUAAAAAUCUGCCGGAAUAAGCAAAACCUAAAAUAAUGGCUCACUUUUGCAAAAUCGCAAAACUAGUGAAUGUUUUAUAUAAAUUGGCUAUAUAUAUAUAUAUUACUAUAUAGUAAAACCUAAUGAUCUUACUAUUCAACUAUCUUUUUGGCCAUUUCACCUGUUAGAUCAUACUCUUCAACCAACAACUCACUCAACCCUAGGGGACCACUAUCAUCUUAACCACACAUCUCUUAAUCUCACGGCGAAAAUUUAUGAGUACAAAGAAAUCUAUAUUCAUAAGAGUAUGACAGCUCUAUUCUAUAAAAAAAUUGAUCUGAUUAUUUAAUUUUAAAAAAAAUUGAUUUUACUAUCUAACUAUUUCAUUUAUUUAAUUUGAGUUAGUUAUUGACUCUUUAACUUCAAAAUUUGAAAAUAUCGUUUAUCUUUAUAGUUUAAGUUUGUAUAUUUUUUACAGUUUAUGAAACUAUAAAUUUGUUAACAUAAGCAAUUAGCUUAAAUGUUGUAUCCAACAAGCCAUUAAGUUAUUUAAAUCAAACAAAUUGAAUGAUUGAUACUAAAAUUAAAAUUUAAAGAAAUUAAAUAGUUAAAUUAAAAUAAACUAUAAUUUAAAUGAACACAAUAAAUUUUUAUUUAAACAUAAUAUUAAAGGAUAUUGCAGGAGAAUGUAAGUGAGCUUUUAAAUUAGGGUUAAUUUCAUCAGUACCCUUACAAAGUUAUGAAAUAUCAUGAAUACCCUUCGAAUUUUUAAAAUUUCACAAAUGCCCCUCUAAAUAUAAUAUUUUUUCAUAAAUACCCUUCCUGUUAAUUUUUUCUGAUUUCCGUCAAUUUAGUAUUUUUUUCAUUUUACUUCAAAAUAUGAAAUUACCUUUUUACCCUUAAUUUGUUUCCUAUUUGUUUUUGGGUUAAUUUCACCGGUAGCUCUCUAAAUUUCAAAAAUAUCAUAAAUGUCCCUAUAAAUUUUGUUAUAUCAUAACUUCUAAAUACAUACUUUCUUUCAAAAACAUCCUCGCCGUUAUAACUCCGUCACUUCAAGUCAUAUUAAAUUUAGUUAGAUGGCGGUCUAAUACUGGUUAAAAUUUGAAAUGUUUAUUUUGCCCAUGAGUUGAGAAAUUUUUGGAGGGUAUAUUAAUUUUAUGAUUUACUAUUUAACCCCUAACUUUUAUUCAUUAUUUGUUUAACAUUUAGACUAACAUUAUUCGCUGAUAUUCUUUAGUUCUACUUAGCUCCUAAUUUUUGUUAAUUAUUUAUUUUAGUUAGUUAUAUUUAAAAUUUUAUUUAACUUAGAUUGCUCUGUUAGCUAUUACUUAUUAUAUAUUUUUUUAUUUUAACUUCUACAAAAUAAUUAAAAUUAUUAAAUUUGUUGGAAUCAUCAAUGGAUUGAUAAAAUCUGUAAUUUAAUUAACAAAAAUCAAUCUAAUUUCAAGGAACCAAAUAUUAAGAAAACUUUGAUCAAAAAAAUUAAAUUAAGGGGCUAUUUCAUAAUGUAUAAUAGUUAAGGAAAUCUCUAAAUAUUAAUCUUAGAAAACUUGUGAGGGUAUUGAUGAAAAUGUAUUGAGGGUAAAUUCGGUAUUUUAAAUUUUUUAUACCUAAACAUAACGGAGCAAUAGUUACGAGGGCAAUUUUGAAAAUUUUUAUCCUUUUUGAGAGUAAAUAUAAAAUUUUAAAAUUUUAAAGGGUAUUUAUAAUAUUAGAUUUAUUUGGAAGGGUAGUGAGGAAAUUUUUUUUUUAAAUUAAGACGAAGAAAUAUUAUGGCACGGGUACGAGGCGUAGGUGUGACAACUAGAAAUGCACGACGCACUUCGCGCCAGAUCCAAGUGGCAUUUAUUGCCCGUACGCACGGUAAAGAACGGUAAAAAACGGCUUCGACGGCGAUUUAUUGACCUGUACGAAUAGUACAAGAGGUAAUAACAGCAUUGGGACCGGCAAUCCUGUUUUUCAACAGAGCCAAACCGUACCGGACACGAAAUGAGUUCGAGAUUGAUUCUCAAAUUGAUAAAUAAGUCACGCCAGCUCGUACGUGUUCGAUUUGAUAUUGGUUGAUCAGCUCGAGUAUAUUCGGUUUGAUAUAAUUUAAAUAUAUAUAUAUAUAUAUAUAUAUAUAUAGAGAGAGAGAGAGAGAGGGGUGGUAAUUCAGCUCGCUGUUUGCGAACUAACUCAUGUUCGGCUCAAAAUGAGCUCGAGAUCGGAUCGCUCGUUUGGUGAACGAGCUAAACACGAGCUGAAUUUUUCAGCUCGUUUAAUAAACGAACCGAACACGAACUAGGGUCAGCUCGCUCGUGUUCGGUUCGAUAACAGCUAAAAUACAUAUAUUUUGUAUUUAUAUAAUUUAUUUAAUUUAUAUUUAUAUAUAUAUAACAUAUGUUUUUAUUAUUUUAUUUUCAGCAAAAUAAAAAUAUAAAGUUGAGCUCAAUCAUAAAAAGACUCAUUUAUUUGUAAAGUUUCAAUCAUUUGAUCAAAUUCUAAUGGAUAAGAUUUUCUAAAUUUAAUUUUUAUAUAUAUCCAAUUUAAUCUUUUUAACUUAUUGUUCAUUGGCUAACUCGUGUUCGGCUCGUUUAUUAACGAGUCGAAUGCGAGCUGAAUUUUUCGGCUCAAUGCUUUAACGAGCCAACUCGCUCGCGUUCGACUUGUUGACACCCUAGAGAGAGAGAGAGAGCUAGACUGCUAUAUCAUUGAUAACACGAAGGCUUCCAUACUACCAAAUUAUUUUCGAUGGCGCAGUUUUCAAAUCAAAACGAUGGGCUCCGUUAAAUUUGAUCUAUAAUAUUGAAAGUAUAUAAAAGUAAAAUUUUAUAUCUUUUGGACAUUAUUUAACUAGUGAUCAAAAGAUUUCAAAAUUGACAAUUUUAAUGGUCGAUAUAAUAGGUUUGUGAAUUUACUAGUGUAAAAUAAUUCAAAUCUAAUAAAAUUUUUACAGAAUUUUUUUUCAUUAUUUUGAAUAAAAUUAGUACCUCUAAUCUUAAAUUCAAAUAUUUUAUCAUUAUUUUUUAUUAUAUUUUUAUUUUCAAUCGUUUAUUUUUAGACUACUCGUUUGAUAGGUAAUGAUGUCAAAAAAAUAUAAAAUUUAGUUUUGAAAUACUUUCAAUAGUGUAGAUCAAGUCUAAUAAAGCCGAUUGCUGGUUUAGAAGCUAUAUCAUUAAAAAUAAUUUGGUGUGUGAAGAUGUUCGUGCUGCCAAUAAUAUUACAGUCGGACUCUCUCUCUCUUUAUAUAUAUAAAUAUAUAGUCCGACUGGAAUAAUUUAAAAAAAACGAACUGCUUGGUACUGUCAAAUUUCUCGUACAUUAAAUCUACCUCUUGGCUAUUUUCAUCAAAUAAGUUUGCCAUCAAGCUCGUCAAAAUAUUUUAGCUCAAUAUUUUAACAAAUUAAUUUAUAUUCGACACAAGCGAAUGCGAGCUCGCUAAGGUCCGCACAGUUGACAGCUCAUGACGACACCAAGGGUGCGUGACAGUUAAACCAAACUGCCAACCGACAAAUAAAAUUAAGUAAUAAAGUAUGAAAUAUAGAAAACAUGUUUUCUCAAAAAAAGAAAUAUAGAAAACAUGCAAAUAUAUAGCAUACAUGUCAUGUAAAUAGAUAUACUCCCCAAUUCUCAGAAAAUGUCUCUUGCAUGGGCACCAUCCCUUCUAUCUAUACUUGCAUCGUACCCCUCCUGCUAUGUUUCCUUCUUUCUUCUUUUUCUCAUGUACUGCCGAUGCUGCCGGCACAAGACUGACAACGAAAAACCGUCGAACAUUCCUAAGAAUUGGCCGGUUCUCGGCAUGCUCCCGGGCGUCGUGGCCAACCUCCACCACAUCCACGACUGGCUCACCGUGAUCCUCUGGGAGACCGGGGGCAAUUUCACCUUCUUCGGUCCGUGGCUCUCCGGCAUAGCCUUCGCCACCACCGCCGACCCCGCGACGGUGCAGCACGUCUUCACCGCCAACUUCGCCAACUAUCCCAAGGGCGACGACUUCGCGGAGAUCUUCGACGUGCUCGGCGGCGGCAUCUUCAACUCCGACGGCGAAUCCUGGCGGGCCCAGCGGGCCCGGGCCCAGCUCCUGAUGGCCCACCAGAGGUUCCGCAGUUUCGUGGCGCGGUGCAGCCGUGAGAAGGUGGAGAGCGGGCUGCUGCCGUUGCUCGGCCGCGCGGCGGAUGCCGGGGGUUGCGUCGACCUGCAGGACGUGUUCUUGCGGCUGACCUUCGACACGACGACCAGACUGGUCUUCGGGGUCGACCCCGGCUGCCUGUCUGCCGGGCUGCCGACCGUGCCGUUCGCGAAGGCCGUGGACGACGCCAUGGCCGCGCUCUUCCUCCGCCACAUAGUGCCUGCAGCCUGGUGGAAGGCGAUGCGGCGGCUGGGAGUAGGACCGGAGAAGAAACUUGCCGCGGCCCGCAUAGUCAUGGACCGGUUCAUCGCCAAAACCAUCGAGGAAAAGAAGCAAGCUUAUGCGAAGAGGGAAUCAGAUGACGAAGAAUCCGACUUAUUAUCAGCGUACAUAGAAGAAAAGGAGCUUGACUCCUCCUCCACAUCCGAUGACGAAAAGUUUCUCCGAGACACCGCGAUGAACUUCAUGCUCGCAGGGCGCGACACGACAGGCUCCGGCCUCUCCUGGUUCUUCUGGCUCCUCUCCAAGAAUCCGCGCGUAGAAGAGAAGCUCCUCCAGGAACUGAACACGCUUUCGCCCCCCCAAAAAGGUGAACUCGCCGUCUUCGACUCCGAAGAGCUUGGUAAGUUGGUCUACCUCCACGCCGCCUUAUGCGAAUCGCUCCGCCUCUUCCCGCCGGUCCCCGUAGAGCACAAAGGAAUUCUCGAACGUGACAUUCUCCCCAGCGGCAUCGAGGUAAACCCUAGCAUGAAGAUACUUGUGUCGUUGUACGUGAUGGCGAGGAGGGAGGAGGUGUGGGGGAAGGACUGCAUGGAGUUUAGACCGGAGAGGUGGAUAUCGGAGAAGGGGAAGGUGCGAUACGAGCCAUCGUAUAGAUUCUUAUCGUUCAACUCGGGGCCGAGGACGUGCUUGGGGAAGGACAUGGCGUUUACGCAGAUGAAGGCAGUGGCGGCCGCCGCCAUCUACAACUUCCGCAUCGAGGCCGUCGAAGGGUUCGUUGCGGAGCCCAAUUUCUCCAUUAUUCUGCAUAUGAAGAAUGGUCUAAUGGUUAGGGUUAGGAGGAGGGGAAGUGAAUGAGGAGGGUGAAGAUGACAAGGGACGAUUGGUGCAUAUUUUCGUAGUAUGUUAUAUUGUUACGUUGCCUACUGCUAUGUGAAGCUAUUGCAUGUACGUAGCUACCUAAGGUGUAGUUUGGAAUGAUAUUAAGAUCUAUUGGAUAUUAAGUACCAUAUAAAAAUAUAAUGUCUUUAGGCAAAAUAAAACUGACAUGAACACAUAUAGAAAAACACUUCACAGUUUUAUGAUGGAGUUGUUGAAACUUUUACUAUAACUAACGCAUCAUGAUAUGACAUAUUUUUUUAAGGGGCAAUUGCUUAUAUACUUUUGAAAAAUUUUCAACUUUUUGAUUUAUCCCUCUUAAAAGGAUAAUAUUGAAAAUGCCCUUUUUACGUUCCAAUCUAUUUCUAAUAUACCCUAGAGUUAAUAUCUGUUAAUGAACUCUAUUAUCUCUAUGAAAUUACUAUUUUGUCAUUUCAAAUAUACCCUUCUACCGAUUUUUCUUAUUUGUUCUUAAGUUAGGAAUACAAAAAGUAUUUUACUUUUUGGUCUUUUCAAAUAUACUCUUUUACCAUAACCAACAUUUCUUAUUUGCCCUUAAGUUAAUAGCAAAAGUGGUAUUUUAUUUUUUUUUUAACUAUGAUAGAUAUUUAACUCACGUUUAACCCAAGUUAAUUUAACGGGUGGUAACUAUAGAGAUAUUUUGGAAUAACGGAGGAACAUAUGAGGGGUAUAUUGGAAAGAAAAAAAAAUAAGGGUAAAUGAGAUAUUUUUGAAGUUUUGAGAGGUAUAUAGGCAAUUAUCUAUUUUUUAAAAAUUUAACAAUACUUAAAAAUAUUUCGAUAUGAUUUAGCGUUACAUUUGAGAGCGUCGGUUAAAACGUCGGCAAAUAAAAAGUGACCACGUAAUUGCUUUAAAGUGUGAGAAUUUUUUUGAAAUCCAGACGCCUUAAAACAUAGGACAAUUAAAAAUAAUAGGAAACUUUAUCAUUUAACAAAUUGGUUUGAUACAAUGGAUUUAAAUGAUGAUAUUUUAUGAAUCGUCAAUAUUUACUAUAUUGUAAGGACACUUGGAAUAUUUUUCUCAAGCACUAUCUAAAAAGUGUUCUUAUAUUGAGGUUUUUUUUUGUGUCCAUAACAUAAUAUUACAUACGAAAAUAAACAGAGCAUGUUUCAAUCAUAUUGCAUGCAUGAAUAAGCAGAAUAAUUUUUAAUCAUAUUUUUUUAACCACAUAUAAGAUCAUUUCUCCACAAUUGCAAACAUUUAAUUUCCACAAUUUUAUCCAUAACUGGGGAGUAUUUUUCUAUAUACUUAGGCCCCAACCCUUUUGUUUUUCCUCCACCAGAAAACAUUGUGUUGUCACGUUAUAUGAGUACAUACCACAUGUAGCAAAAAAAUAUAUCUUCAUUUGUUUCCCUUUUUUUAUAAAAAAAUAAAGUUUGCCUAAUAUAUAAAUAUAUAUAUACAUCAAUAAGUGCAAACACACCCUUAAUCUGAAAGAGGUAUUAAUUGCGAACGUUUUUAAUAAACAAUCUAUGAAUAGUCAUUGUCAGAGUCUUAUAGAAAAUGGAACAUAUCAUUAAUACCUAAUAGGAACAUAUUAUUAGUAAUUAAUGGUUGCACAAUAAUUGCAAUUAAGUUGAUUAGUUUCGAAAAGCAUGGUUAGCCUCUUAAAUUAGAACUCUUAGGGAUAUGACAAUUAUUGCUUAGACCAGCUGUUAUGUAGAUUAUGCUCCGGAGCUAUUCCGAUUCCGAUUCGAGCUUAUUUCGAUUCCGAUAUUCUGAUUCCAAUUCCAACUUCGAACCAAACACGCCCUUAGUUUAAAUACUAAAACUUCUGAAUUUUUACAAGUUCAUUUUAUUUCUUGGCAAUUUUAAAUCAUGGAAUAUGAAAUAAUAUUUAAUUAUAUUUAAAAUAAACUGAAAUAAGUAAAUUAUUCGGCAUGGAAGGGUAAAUUAUCGAUCAUGUUAUAAGAAAAUUAUUACGAUUUACCUCUUUCUUUUUUUCUUUACGUUCACAUAGUAAGGUGGUUGAAUUGAAAGUAAAGAGAAUUAAUUGUAACAUGAGAAUAGUACAUAAGCCAGUCAUAUAUUUUACUCUAUGUUUUUUAAAAAUUUAACAAUACUUAAAAAUAUUUCGAUAUGAUUUAGCGUUACAUUUGAGAGCGUCGGUUAAAACGUCGGCAAAUAAAAAGUGACCACGUAAUUGCUUUAAAGUGUGAGAAUUUUUUUGAAAUCCAGACGCCUUAAAACAUAGGACAAUUAAAAAUAAUAGGAAACUUUAUCAUUUAACAAAUUGGUUUGAUACAAUGGAUUUAAAUGAUGAUAUUUUAUGAAUCGUCAAUAUUUACUAUAUUGUAAGGACACUUGGAAUAUUUUUCUCAAGCACUAUCUAAAAAGUGUUCUUAUAUUGAGGUUUUUUUUUGUGUCCAUAACAUAAUAUUACAUACGAAAAUAAACAGAGCAUGUUUCAAUCAUAUUGCAUGCAUGAAUAAGCAGAAUAAUUUUUAAUCAUAUUUUUUUAACCACAUAUAAGAUCAUUUCUCCACAAUUGCAAACAUUUAAUUUCCACAAUUUUAUCCAUAACUGGGGAGUAUUUUUCUAUAUACUUAGGCCCCAACCCUUUUGUUUUUCCUCCACCAGAAAACAUUGUGUUGUCACGUUAUAUGAGUACAUACCACAUGUAGCAAAAAAAUAUAUCUUCAUUUGUUUCCCUUUUUUUAUAAAAAAAUAAAGUUUGCCUAAUAUAUAAAUAUAUAUAUACAUCAAUAAGUGCAAACACACCCUUAAUCUGAAAGAGGUAUUAAUUGCGAACGUUUUUAAUAAACAAUCUAUGAAUAGUCAUUGUCAGAGUCUUAUAGAAAAUGGAACAUAUCAUUAAUACCUAAUAGGAACAUAUUAUUAGUAAUUAAUGGUUGCACAAUAAUUGCAAUUAAGUUGAUUAGUUUCGAAAAGCAUGGUUAGCCUCUUAAAUUAGAACUCUUAGGGAUAUGACAAUUAUUGCUUAGACCAGCUGUUAUGUAGAUUAUGCUCCGGAGCUAUUCCGAUUCCGAUUCGAGCUUAUUUCGAUUCCGAUAUUCUGAUUCCAAUUCCAACUUCGAACCAAACACGCCCUUAGUUUAAAUACUAAAACUUCUGAAUUUUUACAAGUUCAUUUUAUUUCUUGGCAAUUUUAAAUCAUGGAAUAUGAAAUAAUAUUUAAUUAUAUUUAAAAUAAACUGAAAUAAGUAAAUUAUUCGGCAUGGAAGGGUAAAUUAUCGAUCAUGUUAUAAGAAAAUUAUUACGAUUUACCUCUUUCUUUUUUUCUUUACGUUCACAUAGUAAGGUGGUUGAAUUGAAAGUAAAGAGAAUUAAUUGUAACAUGAGAAUAGUACAUAAGCCAGUCAUAUAUUUUACUCUAUGUUUUUUAAAAAUUUAUGAGGAUUUAUUGUCAGCAUCUUUUUUUGCUGUCAAUUUAAUUUUAUACUUUUAAUUUAAUAAUUUAAUUUACUUUAGCUAUUAAAAUAAGAAAAAAGAGUAGCGCUUUCGCUGCCGUUCAUUCUCUCCUCUUCAAUGACUAAGAUUUAAUUUUUUUUAAAUUGUAACUUGCACUUUGAGAGAAAUACCAGUUAUCAGGUACCUCAAAAAAUAGUAUUUUUGUCUUUUAAUAUGAUUAAUUUAGUAAUUUUACCUUUACUAUAUUAUCAAAAUUUUUAUUCUCACUUUGUUUCCUUUUUCUUUCUCUUUUUUUACUUACAAAUUCAAUUUGUAAAGAACUAAAAUUUAAAAUAUCGACUAAAAACUAAAAAAAUUUAAUGGCAAAAUCAAAAUCAAUUUAAUAAAUUAAAUUAAUUAGACUGAUUAAAUUGAUAAAAUAUAUAAAUAGCUUAGAUUUGUUCAAUAUAAAUUUAUUUAAUUUAUCUAUAUUUAUAAUUUUAUUUACUCUAGUAAAACUCUAUGAUGGAGAUUUAUUAUAAGAUUAAAAUUUAAAUUAUACAGUCUAAAUUUAUUUAUUAGUAAGUUUAAAUUGCACUAUAUUAUUUAGAUUUAUUGGAGGUUUCUGUAUACUUUUUAGCUUCUAAACUUCAAAUUUAAUUUGUUUUCAACUUAUAUUUUAAAUUCCUAUACAUGAUCUUAUUAUUUUAAAAGUUCAAUUUUUACUAUUAAAAUUUGAAUUAAUUUUGCCCAUACAAUUCUAUUCUAAAAAUAAAUUUGCAUUAUACCUAAAUUUCUAAUCAAUUAUCCACAUUAAAUUUUUUAAAUAGUGAUAAAAUAUUAAUAUCUAAAUUAAAAAAAUCUUAAUUUUUUUCAAUUUAUUAAAUAUGUUGAAUUUAAAUAUUUGCCCACAUUCAAUUUUAUAAAAUUAGUAAUACAAAAUUAAUAUCUAAACAAGACGAAUUCAUAAUUGUGUUAAACAUAUUAAAUAUGUUAAAUUUAAGUAUUUACCAACAUUACAAAUUUUUUUAAAUAGUGAUACAAAAUAUUAAUGUCUAAAGUAGAACAAUUCUAAAAUUUUUUUAACAUAUUAAAUACAUUUAAUUUAUAACUUUUUACCUACAUUUAAAUUUUUUUAAAUAAGUGAUACAAAAUUAAUGUUUAAACUGUAGAAAUUUAAAAGUUUCUUAAAUAUAUUAAUAUGUUGAAUUAAAAUAUUUACCAACAUUACAAAUUUGUAAAAUAGUAAUACAAAAUUCCUCUAACUUAAAUUUAAAUUUUUAAUAUUUAAUAUUUAAUAUUUAAUAUUUAAAUUCAACCUAUUUAGAAAUAGAAUUAUUUCUAAAAUUCUUAUAAUUUAAAUUAAUGCCUAAAUUUGAGAAUUUCUAAAAUAAAUGCCUAAAUUAAUGCCUAAAUUUGGGUAAUCAAUCAAUUCCUCAAGUUAGUGCAAAUUAAUGCGUAAAUUUAGAAUAUCAAUUAGAAUUUUCUUUAAAUGUUGCAUAGUUUAAUUACAAAAAUAAUCUCGAAUGAAGUAAUUUUUUUANAUAUAUAUAUAUAUAUAUAUAUAUAAUUUUAAUUUUUAAUAACAAGUACUAAAUUGAUUGAAUUCUACUUGGAAACAAACAAGCGAGCUCCAUCAAAAUCAAUCAAUCUCAAAUUAAGACAAGUAUAUGAAAGUUACAUCUUACCAAAAUAUAUGAACAAUUAUUGUACUAUAUGUCAAUUUCGAAUCUUUAUUUAGAUAUGUAACCUUUUCAACUUUUUCUUACAAAAUCUUUUUCAAAUUGACUUAGAAUUAGUCAGUAAUUUCAAAGAGUAAAGAGAUAAAAUAUUAUUUAUAAAAAAACUAUUUUUUAAUGUUUAUAAAUUAGAAGCAUAAUAUAUAUCUUAAAAAUGUAAUGCAAUAACCAUUUUGAAAUUUUGGAAUUGUAUUAGGACCAUCCUUUUUUUUAACCUAUAGGUUGAUUCAAAAUUUGUGAACCCAGUAAAAUUUAUCUUGAGCAUUUAUUAAACAAUUUCUUCUUUCAAGAAAGUAUACAUUUCAUGAAUUUUUGUUUAAACCUAUAUUCUGUUUUUUUUAAAAAAAAUAUUUUUACAGAAUUUUUAGAAAGGCUAAUGUUGACCCUCCGUUGGCGGCUGUUAAGAUUUAGCAGUUGCUCCCACCCAGUAGGAGAAGUUGCUCUCAUCUAAACGUCAUCUUUUUUUUUUUCUUUCUUUUUGUUUUGGUUUUGAUUGAGGUUUACUACCUAAUUUCUGAUACUUAAUUCAUCGUUCUAAUAAAUAAAAUAGGUAGCGUACUUAAUUCAUCUUUUUAAUAAAUAAAAUAGGUAGUGUAUUAUCCUUAUCUAAAAAAAAAGUAAAAAAAAUAUUUCAGCAAUUGGUUGUGUAACUAAAUUGAAAUUAGGAUUCAAUAAGCUAGAAUUUUUAUUUAGAUUAAGAUCAAGAAUUAUUGUGCCACUGAUACGGGACCUGCUGGUAUGAUAUGGGAAAGGUACGGCGCACCGAUAAAUGUCCGGGCGCGCCAGUACCUACAACAUGGAGGCUAUGAGUCUUGAGGUAUUUAGAUACUAAGGCUUCGUUUGGUUCGGGGUUAAGUAAAAAUUAAUUAUUUCAGGGAUAGAGUUAAGUUUAAGAUUACGGUGGGGUUAGAGUAAUUUUGUGUUUGGUUGAUAAUUGAAUUUAGUACAUAUAUAAGCAAAAUGGUGUUUGGUUAGAAUUAGUAGAAUAAGAAUGAUAGUGGAUAGUUAUACAUAGAAAAUAAUAAUAUUGCCCCAAUUAUUAUAUUUGAAUUUAAAUUUAAAAAUUAAAUAAUUAAAAAUAAUAAUUUAAAACUUAAAAUUUAAAAUUAUUUUAAAUCUCAAAUUUAAAAAUUUAAAGUUACAAAUAUAAAAUGUCAAAUUUAAAAUUUAAAUAAUUAAAAAUAAUAAUUUAAAAUUCAAAUUUAAAAUUUAAAAUUUAUAUUUAUAUUUUUAAAUCUCAAAUUUAAAGUUACAAAUAUAAAAUAUCAAAUUUAAAUUUUAAAUAAUUAAAAAAAAUAAUUUAAAGUUUUAAAUUUAAAAUUUUUAAUUUUUAAAAAUAAAUAUUAUUUUUAAAUUUUUAAAUNNNNNNNNNNNNNNNNNNNNNNUUAAAAUUUAUAUUUAUAUUUAAAAAUUAAAUAGGGGUGGGAUUAACUUAAUCCCACCCCUAUUCCUUGGGAGGGUUGGGGUUAGCUAACCCGGUUAUGGGGUUAGCUAACCCCAUAACCGGGUUAGCUAACCCCAACCCCCCAAAUUCUUGUUUAGGAAUUAGGAUUAAAAGGGGGAUAACCUUCUUAUCCCCCUUUAACCCCGAAUCAAACGGUGUGUUAAACUUUAAAAUGUUAUAAUAUAUGAGUCGAAUUUUUUAAAUUAGUACAAUCAGAUCUCGUAAUAUAUUUAAUUGACUGAAUAUUAAAAAUAUCGCUUAUGUAAAAGUGGAAUCGUAGUAUUGUAAAUAAUAACGCAAUAAUAAUUAAAAUGUUGACUAUAUUGUUUUUACAACAGCGACGGUUAAUAUUAAGUAAGCUAAAUUAAAUUGUAAGACUUGACUAAAAUAUAUUAUGUUAUAUUAAAAUUUAAUAAUUAAAAUGUUAAAGUUUUAUAGUUUUGAGGACAAAGCGUAUAAUUUAACUAUUAACCAUUUUUAAUUGAAAAACUUUUGACUGAGAUGCACAAAUAAAACUGCCAAAGAGUGCAAUGUAAAACCCUACUCCUUAUUAUAUAUAUAUUUAUAUAUCUUAUCCAAAUAGAUGUACUCCCUUAUCACUUCUCAUCACUGUUAGAUACCCUUCACAAAGUCCCAUUCAAUGGCUUUCCCAUGUGCACCUUCUCUUCAAUCUCUAUUGAAGUACUCAUGUCCAGAGUUCCUCUUCUCUGUUUCCUUCUUUCUUCUUUUCCUCUUGUAUCGCCGCUGCUUGCACCAGACUAAAAAUGGAAAACCGUCGAACGUUCCGACGAACUGGCCGGUCGUUGGCAUGCUCCCGGGGCUCCUCGCGAACCUCUACCACUUCCACGACUGGGUCGCAGCGAUCCUCCGGGAGACGGGGGGCGACUUCUUCUGCUCCGGGCCGUGGCUCUCCAGCAUGGCGUUCUUCGCGACCGCCGACCCUGCGACGGUGCAGCACGUCUUCACCGCCAACUUCGCCAACUACCCCAAGGGCGACGAGUUCGCGGAGAUCUUCGACGUGCUCGGCGGCGGCAUCUUCAACGCCGACGGCGAAUCUUGGCGGGUCCAGCGGGGCCGGGCCCAGCUCCUGAUGGCCCACCAGAGGUUCCGCGGUUACGUCGCGAGGUGCAGCCGCGAGAAGGUGGAGAGCGGGCUGCUGCCGUUGCUCGGCCGCGCGGCGGAUGCCGGGGAUGUCGUCGACCUGCAGGACGUGUUCUUGAGGCUGACUUUCGAUACGACGACCAGACUGGUCUUCGGGGUCGACCCCGGCUGCCUGUCCGCCGGGCUGCGGACCGUGCCGUUCGCGAAGGCCAUGGACGACGCCAUGGCCACGCUCUUCCUCCGCCACACGAUGCCCGCGACCUGGUGGAAGGUGAUGCGGCGGCUGGGGGUAGGACAGGAGAAGAAGCUUGCCACGGCCCGCGUAGUCAUCGACCGAUUCAUCGCCGCAACCAUCGCGGAGAAGAAGCAAGCUCGGACGAGGGAA